GACGAACGCUGGCGGCGUGCCUAAUACAUGCCAGUUGAGCGCUGAAGGUUGGUACUUGUACCGGCUGGAUGAGCAGCGAACGGGUGAGUAACGCGUGGGGAAUCUGCCUUUGAGCGGGGGACAACAUUUGGAAACGAAUGCUAAUACCGCAUAAAAACUUUAAACACAAGUUUUAAGUUUGAAAGAUGCAAUUGCAUCACUCAAAGAUGAUCCCGCGUUGUAUUAGCUAGUUGGCGAGGUAAAGGCUCACCAAGGCGAUGAUACAUAGCCGACCUGAGAGGGUGAUCGGCCACAUUGGGACUGAGACACGGCCCAAACUCCUACGGGAGGCAGCAGUAGGGAAUCUUCGGCAAUGGACGAAAGUCUGACCGAGCAACGCCGCGUGAGUGAAGAAGGGUUUCGGAUCGUAAAACUCUGUUGGUAGAGAAGAACGUUGGUGAGAGUGGAAAGCUCAUCAAGUGACGGUAACUACCCAGAAAGGGACGGCUAACUACGUG
rnacentral:rRNA from 1 species